rnacentral:rRNA from 1 species
GGAUGUGAAAUCCCCGGGCUCAACCUGGGAACUGCAUUCGAAACUGGCAGGCUUGAGUCUUGUAGAGGGGGGUAGAAUUCCAGGUGUAGCGGUGAAAUGCGUAGAGAUCUGGAGGAAUACCGGUGGCGAAGGCGGCCCCCUGGACAAAGACUGACGCUCAGGUGCGAAAGCGUGGGGAGCAAACAGGAUUAGAUACCCUGGUAGUCCACGCCGUAAACGAUGUCUACUUGGAGGUUGUGCCCUUGAGGCGUGGCUUCCGGAGCUAACGCGUUAAGUAGACCGCCUGGGGAGUACGGCCGCAAGGUUAAAACUCAAAUGAAUUGACGGGGGCCCGCACAAGCGGUGGAGCAUGUGGUUUAAUUCGAUGCAACGCGAAGAACCUUACCUGGUCUUGACAUCCACGGAAGUUUUCAGAGAUGAGAAUGUGCCUUCGGGAACCGUGAGACAGGUGCUGCAUGGCUGUCGUCAGCUCGUGUUGUGAAAUGUUGGGUUAAGUCCCGCAACGAGCGCAACCCUUAUCCUUUGUUGCCAGCGGUU